rnacentral:lncRNA from 1 species
GAAGGACGGUCCAGGGGGUGGGAGGGAUGUUUGGCAACUGGGGUGAAGGGAUAGCCCUCCCCCUGCUGGGAUCCCCCCAGCCCCUCAGGUCUGGCAGGAAAGGGGCAGCCUGCAACACCCAAGAGCAGGUCUGGGGCUGUUAAGAUGCUCCAGGCAGGGGGCUGGAGGUGGCUCACAAAGGCUUGCCCUCCAGGGAAAUGACCGCGCUGCCACCUAGUUUCUCUGCCAGGGUGCAGUGGUCCUUGACCUCCUCGUAGCAGUUAGCUUGUAAUUCAUGCUUGAUUCCUGUCAGCUUCUUCUUGAUGGCAUCCUUGGAGCUGGCAUAGAUCAUUUUGCUCUUAAGGGGUGCAUUCUCGGGGGCCCAGAAGAUGAACACCAGGUCCUCCUUCUUGAUCUCCUUGCCCUCCUCCAGGAUGAUGUUCUUCUUGUCCUCACUCAGGCAAAAGAGCACUGCCUUCUUGCGUUUCUUCACUUCUUCUGGUGUUGAAGACUUGCGAACCUUCAUGUCAUUGAACACCUUGAUGACACCAUCAGAGACAGCCACACCAGAGGCCAUGUUUCCAGAAACGAAAGGGAGACAGAAAGAGCAACUGAAGACCUGAGCCGCCGCAGCUGCUGCUGG